UACAGAGGUCUCAAGCGUUGUUCGGAUUCAUUGGGCGUAAAGGGUGCGUAGGUGGUGCUGUAAAGUCAGGUGUGAAAUCUCGGGGCUCAACCCCGAAACUGCACUUGAUACUGCGGUGCUCGAGGACUGGAGAGGAGAUUGGAAUUCAUGGUGUAGCAGUGAAAUGCGUAGAUAUCAUGAGGAAGACCAGUGGCGAAGGCGGAUCUCUGGACAGUUCCUGACACUGAGGCACGAAGGCCAGGGGAGCAAACGGG
rnacentral:rRNA from 1 species